rnacentral:rRNA from 1 species
GAUGAACGCUGGCGGCGUGCCUAAUACAUGCAAGUCGAGCGAACAGACGAGGAGCUUGCUCCUCUGACGUUAGCGGCGGACGGGUGAGUAACACGUGGAUAACCUACCUAUAAGACUGGGAUAACUUCGGGAAACCGGAGCUAAUACCGGAUAAUAUAUUGAACCGCAUGGUUCAAUAGUGAAAGACGGUUUUGCUGUCACUUAUAGAUGGAUCCGCGCCGCAUUAGCUAGUUGGUAAGGUAACGGCUUACCAAGGCAACGAUGCGUAGCCGACCUGAGAGGGUGAUCGGCCACACUGGAACUGAGACACGGUCCAGACUCCUACGGGGGGCAGCAGUAGGGAAUCUUCCGCAAUGGGCGAAAGCCUGACGGAGCAACGCCGCGUGAGUGAGGAAGGUCUUCGGAUCGUAAAACUCUGUUAUUAGGGAAGAACAAAUGUGUAAGUAACUAUGCACGUCUGGACGGUACCUAAUCAGAAAGCCACGGCUAACUACGU